UACCGAGUUUACAACUCCCAAACCCCUGUGAACAUACCACUUGUUGCCUCGGCGGAUCAGCCCGCUCCCGGUAAAACGGGACGGCCCGCCAGAGGACCCCUAAACUCUGUUUCUAUAUGUAACUUCUGAGUAAAACCAUAAAUAAAUCAAAACUUUCAACAACGGAUCUCUUGGUUCUGGCAUCGAUGAAGAACGCAGCAAAAUGCGAUAAGUAAUGUGAAUUGCAGAAUUCAGUGAAUCAUCGAAUCUUUGAACGCACAUUGCGCCCGCCAGUAUUCUGGCGGGCAUGCCUGUUCGAGCGUCAUUUCAACCCUCAAGCACAGCUUGGUGUUGGGACUCGCGUUAAUUCGCGUUCCCCAAAUUGAUUGGCGGUCACGUCGAGCUUCCAUAGCGUAGUAGUAAAACCCUCGUUACUGGUAAUCGUCGCGGCCACGCCGUUAAACCCCAACUUCUGAAUGUUGACCUCGGAUCAGGUAGGAAUACCCGCUGAACUUAAGCAUAUCA
rnacentral:rRNA from 1 species